rnacentral:rRNA from 1 species
CCUACGGGUGGCUGCAGUAGGGAAUAUUGCUCAAUGGGGGAAACUCUGACGCAGCAACGCCGCGUGGAGGAUGAAGGUUUUAGGAUUGUAAACUUCUUUUGUGAGAGAAGAUCAUGACGCUAUCCCACGUAUAAGCACCGGCUAACACUGCGUCAGCAGCCGCGGUAAUACGGAGGGGGCAAACGCUACUCGGAAAUACUGUGCGUAAAGAGUGCGUGGGCGGGCUUGUAAGUCAGAUGUGAAAACCUGGAGCUUAACUACAGAACUGCAUUUGAAACUGUGUGUCCAGAGUGUCGGAGAGGUAGGUGGAAGUCUUGGUGUAGGGGUAAAAUGCGUAGAUAUCAGGAAGAAUACUCGUGGCGAAGGCGAACUACUGGACGAUAACUGACGCUCAGGCGCGAAAGCGUGGGGAGCAAACAGGAUUAGAUACCCCGGUAGUC